UACUCUGCACAAACUCUUAAUCAUAGUUUGGACUAAGCAAACUUUAUACUUAUCUGCAGCCGUAAUGAUAUUUUGAACUAUUUCAAAUCUACUACCUGAAGAAUCUAAUUUGUGGAAAAAAUAUUAAAGAAAAACUGCUAUAGCAAAUAUUUAAUUUUGUACAAUCAUAAAAUGUUUACAAUAAACCUGUUGAAUAUUCCAGAACAUGAACUCUCGUUAACCGAGUUAUGUAAGAAUUCCCAGAAAAUGUGGUUAAUUUUACUCUAGGCGAGAUGUCUAGCUGCAUAAACAUGUGAAAUAAAGGAAACUAUUAUUCAUGCGAUAGAUCUAGAUUUAACAAAAAGCCGGUCUACUAGCUAUAAACUGGUGCUGUUCAAGAGAGUAAUAAUGGAACGCCUAGCAGUGCACAGGAAAAAAGAAAAGAUAGAAAGCUGCAACUUCAAUGAGAAAAGAAAACAAUCAGACAGACAGUAAUUCAUUUUAAUAAAAAAAAAAGAAAAUAGUUUGAUUUAUAAAAGGCUGGCAUCAAUAUUUGACAUGUUAUAGCGAUGAAAUAUUCGGUUAUAUUUCUUCAGGAAACUUGCAAACAAACUUAAAUGUUAGAUUUCUUUUUGUUAAAUAUUAAACAAAAUCAAAAUUAUUUGAAAAUAAAAUGUGUACUAAAUAAUA